UUGAGCCUGGUGUGCGAUCGAGAGAAGGGUCAGGGAACUCUUUCCCUCUCAUAAACCCUAAGUCACUAAAAUUCCAUCAAUUAAAGGUGAAAUUAGCAAGGAAUCGAAUGCAUGAGCUAGGAAUUUUGAUGUACUAAGUGUUCUUAACCCCAAGAUAUGCGUCGUAUUAGCAAGGGAUCAAGCAUGGAAAGCUAACGGGUCAAGAGGAGACAAGGAAGUGAAUGCGAAAACGGACGCUCAAGGUAAGUGAUUCCGUAAUCACUUCUUAGUUUGUUUAAGUAAUGUAGCGUUUUAAUUAAUUAAACAUGAUGUUUAAUGUCAAAUAUGGAUUUAGUUGAAUGAAAUUGGUGAUUUUUUCUAAGUAGACCAAACGGGUCAAAAUGAGGUCUUAUGAUUAUAUCGAAAAGUUGUAUAAGAAAUGGCUACGGUAGUAUAAACGGUUAAUGGGUAAAAUUGCACAUAAGUACGCAAUCCGGGAAUCGGAGAUGUGGUUUAAUAGUCAAAAGACUCAGAUGUGAGUUGGUUUAAUAGAUAUAUAUUUGCGCAAGUGGAGGUUUUAGUAGCAAGUUUGAUACGUAGGUUUAAAUGGAGUGAAUGAAUUUAAUGAAUACCGGGUAUCGGUUGCGUAAACCCCAAGUACGAAACUCUAGAUAAUAUAAGAGUAUUAUGGAUAUAAUGUUCAUGUAUGUUUUGGGUUAAAACAAAGGAGUGGUUUGAUGAAAACAUAAACGGGUCAAAUAAUUAGAAAAUGAUUAUUAAGCCGAUAGCGUGUAAGUUAAGAAUUUCCUUAAUCCGGAUAUGGGAUUUUAAGUUCAUAUGAUAGAAUGUGAAUUUACAAGCAUGUAGGAAGAAACGUGAGGUUAAACGGACAAUCGGGUUAAAAGUUAUGCGAGUUUUAGUGGGCGUUUUGUAUCUGCACCCGGAGUAUGGAACGCCGGGUUUGGGAGUAUGGAACGCCGGGCAGAAACCCAAACGCCCAUGCUUCACUGUCAAACGCUGGUUCUAUGUUAAAGUGAACGCAGGGGUGUUCCAAACAAGCCUAGAUCACUUUCCUUGGGUUCCUUUGAUGUGUGUAAAGCUCCAUGUGAUAGGUUUAUGAUCCGGAAUCAUCACGCAAUCUUCCACCACUACCUACAUGUAAAAAUGCAUCAAAGUAACAUGUCUCGAUACAAAUUCGAUGCUAAAACAUGUAAAUAUUAACCACUUAGGCGUACCAAAAACAUAUGCAUCAGGUAUGUACGUAUGUAUGUAUGUAUAUAUAUGAUUGUAUGUAGAUAUGUAGGUGCGUAUGAUCAGACGUAUGAAUAUAUGAAUGCACGAAGUAGGAUUUAUCGCCUAUGAAAAGAAUGGGACAGGUAUGCAUGUAUACAUGGUUUCAAUACGUUUGAGUAUGGACGUUACUAAUGAUGUGCUUGAGAUUGGAAUGUAAUGCAGGAAUGAGAACGUCAAACUCUUGUAGAAUUGAAGCCGAACCUUGAAGCCGAACUCGGAACAAAGGAAUCCGAGAGGAUAGUCGAAUGAAUCAAAGUUUAUGUAGUUGAAUGUUGUAUGAUUUUUAAUUUGUAUCAGAUUAUUGUUGUAUGACGUUGUCAAUGACUAAUGGUUAAGUUGUAUGUGGUGUCCACAGGUACUACACGGAUUUCUUCUACCACUAUCGAAGAUAAGCGGGCAUAGAUCGAGUCGAAUAACAAGGGUUGUACGGAAAGAACGGUUACGUAGUCUUAAUUUUGUAAAGCAUUAAUUUGUAAAAAGGGAAGUGAAUUUUGUAAGCUUCUUCUUGAAUGUGUGUAUUGUUAUAAGAUCGUAAAGAAAUUUUAAAGCUAUUUUUCCGCUGCGUUAUCUUUAAGUUCUUACACGACGAUCUUACAGGGAAUUGUUCUUAUUAUGAACGGGUCAUGCCCAAAUUUUUCUUAAAUAAUAGUAUGGUAAUAUUACUUUUCGGACUAAGAAAUAUGGGCGUUACAGGUGGUUGCAUUGGGUUUGGUGGCGGAGCAUCACUUACUGGAGGUGGAGGUCCACGGUGGUCGACGAUGACGGCGCGGUGAUGAUGAUCAACAAAAGUGAUAGGUGUGUUGUAGUGGUGGAGAUGGUGUGCCGAAACAGGGGGCCCUAUCGUCCGCCGCCGCGCCACCGUAACAGUGGUGGCCGACCCCCGUCUGUCGUCUGAUGAUGGUUGUGUUCUUUUUGAUGAUGGUUUUUCACUUGAUUUUGUGUUAAAGAUAGUUGAAAUACCUUCUGUGUGAGAUGGGUUUUCUUGAUUUAUGUUAAAGAUGGUGGGAACACCUACUGUGAUGAGAUGUAGAUAUACCUUCUGUGAUGAGAUGGGUUUUUUUUUGUGACGAGAUGGGUUUUUCUUGAACGAAGAUUUCCGGUCAGUUGGGUGUUUUUUGAAUGAUGCAGGUUGUUUGAAUGAUGCAUUUUGUAUUCUUUGAUUCUGUGGGUUUUGAUAUGUUAGACAGGGUGGCGAUGAUGCAAAAAAAAAAAAAUCGUAGAUUUUAAUGACGAUGGCGCGACAAGGAUGGUGGAGGGAAGGUUUUUGAACAUGCAACCCCACUUUGCAGCCUUUUGAUUAUCGGGAAAGCUGAGCCAAACCCCGUUUUUUAUUCG